CUCUAGAAUCUUGCAUCAUUUACAACUUCAGUCCUACAGCAUUUACAUGGUACACCAUAAAACAUGACUUCUUGAGUCAUACAACUACAUUGAGUCAUAAAAAUUGACACCUUAAAAAACUUCAGUCAUCAAAACAAAAGCAAAAAUCAAAACUCAAGGGAAAUAAACACACAAAAUGUUUUAACCACAAAAACAAUAUAAU